rnacentral:rRNA from 1 species
CCUACGGGUGGCAGCAGUGGGGAAUAUUGGACAAUGGGGGCAACCCUGAUCCAGCCAUGCCGCGUGUGUGAAGAAGGCCCUCGGGUUGUAAAGCACUUUCAGUGAGGAAGAACGCCUGGUGGUUAAUACCCAUCAGGAAAGACAUCACUCACAGAAGAAGCACCGGCUAACUCCGUGCCAGCAGCCGCGGUAAUACGGAGGGUGCGAGCGUUAAUCGGAAUUACUGGGCGUAAAGCGCGCGUAGGUGGCUUGAUAAGCCGGUUGUGAAAGCCCCGGGCUCAACCUGGGAACGGCAUCCGGAACUGUCAAGCUAGAGUGCAGGAGAGGAAGGUAGAAGUCCCGGUGUAGCGGUGAAAUGCGUAGAGAUCGGGAGGAAUACCAGUGGCGAAGGCGGCCUUCUGGACUGACACUGACACUGAGGUUCGAAAGCGUGGGUAGCAAACAGGAUUAGAUACCCUAGGAGUC